GAGAUUCGAGAGGCAAGGGCCAUGCCCAGAUUAAAGAGAGGCAAUUGCCAAAACGCCUCAACGGGGAACAGCCCUGUCUACUCCUCACCCUGCUCCAGCCCAGGCAAUGCUGACAGAUAGCAGAAACCGGGGCUAUUAGGCGCCUACAUCCCUUAGGUACUUUUGGAAACAGCUCUUCCCAGAAGUCCCUCAGGGGGUAUCUGCCCCAUACUGUGACACUGGAGGCAGCUUCAGAGGAGCCACCCAAAAGUAGGAGCAGGAGGAAGGAGGGGCUCAGUGGAAGCUGAUUUAUUCUGCUUCUCAGGUGCGUUUGCAGCCCACGCACAUUGCUGCAGAUGGGCCAGUACAGAUGUCCAAUGCUGCCAGCUGAGCACUCAUUCAGGACAUAGUCUGGGACAGCCCAUUGACAUUCUUGCCAUCUCUAGAUACCCACUGGGAACAUCUAAACCAUCCAUGGCUUAGGGAACCAGUUUGCUUGACUUCUGGUCAUCCCUACUUUAUCUGUUGGCUUGUGGAAUGAACCAGUGUUUUCUGAAAUGAAACCCAAGCACUGUUUUAAGGAUGUUUUUCUCCCAGUUUUGCUCUCUUGAAUGGGUCUUGCCCAAGUUUGGUGCUAUCCAUCCUCCACAGUCCUACAGCUCUUGCGAACACCUCCCUACGUCACAAUGACACACCUCACAACGUACUACAAGAUCAGCUCCUCGGUGGGCUGAAAGAUGGUCCUCAGUUUGAAUUUUCAAGGAAAGAAGAAAUUAAUUAUAACAGGGAGUCAUGAGGGACCCAGAAGAAAGCUGAUCCAAGUGCUACAUGGGGAUUUUAGGGACACAAAGUGAAGGGUGGGAGGAAGAGCAGCUGCACAUCUCCACCACAGGACACACACCAGUCCCAUCUGAGCUGCAAUCCUUUAGCUCAUCUCAAGCCCAGCUCCAAAAAAACCCCUCUGCCUUUCAAGCCUGCUCAUUCCCACAGCAGGGGGCAAAAGCAAUGCUGUUUUCUCAGACUCUGAAGCAGUUGCCAGUGGCUCCAUCUUCCUGGUGUGCAAGUGAGAUGCCCAAAUUCUGUCAUCCCUGUCAUCCAAAGAGCCUGUUUGGAGCAAAAGAGCAGCAUAAGCACAUCUUGGAUUUCACCUGCAGCCUGUCACAGCGUGCUACCUUCAGCAGCCCAAAAGGGAAAUGACCUUUCUGGCUUUUGACGAGAGGAAUCCAACGAGCCACUCACCAUCCUGCUUCCCACCCCACCUCUAAUCUCAUGUGAAAUCUUGUCAGGAACACAACAUAUUCAAUUUGUCAGGCCUCAGAUAAGCUUCGUGGAUCUGUUCUGAGUUUCAG
rnacentral:lncRNA from 1 species